rnacentral:lncRNA from 13 species
UUUGGAUAUAUACCCAGUAAUGGGAUUGCUGGGUCAGAUGGAAUUUCUAUUUCUAGGUCCCUGAGGAAUCACCACACUGUCUUCCACAAUGGUUGAACUAAUUUACACUCCCACCAGCAGUGUACAAGUGUUCCUAUUUCUCCACAUCAUCUCCAGCAUUUGUUGUCUCCAGAUUUUUUAAUGAUCGCCAUUCUAACUGGUGUGAGAUGAGUCUUGCUGUAUUGCCAGUCUGGAGUGCAGUGGCCCGAUCUCAGCUCACUACAACCUCUGUCUCCCAGGUUCAAGUCAUUCUCCUGCCUCAGCCUCCCAAGUAACUGCGACUACAGAUGUGAAUUCAGAUCUACAAAUAGAAAUGACAUGAAGCAGAGUCACCCUAAACUGCAGAAAAUAUUUGAUUUUUGUUUGUUUUGUGUUUUGUAUUUAGAGACAGAGUCUCAAUCUGUCACCCAGGAUGGAGUAUGCUG